CGUGGGACGCCCGGUGCCGCCUAAACUGGGAGCUCAGCGAGGAUCAGCCGAUGGAGCUGCACUUUCUACUCGUGCGUCUGUGCGGCGGGCGGCUGAGAGGCGAGUCUUCGGCUAACAAGAGAGGCGAGAAGCGGCGCGGGUACGAGUGGGCAGCGGCGACAGCAGAAAUCCCCGUGAAGAGCUGUGAUCGAAAACGAUACAUGUUUCUCUCUAGCGCGGGAGCUAAGGCGGGGCGGGGGAGACCGCGACGCCUUAAGUAGCCAGACAGCUGCCUGAUGUCACCAGUGGAAGGAGGAGCUACAAUGUUCGCCAGCCAAUCGCUGAAGAUCUCCCCACUCGCUUCCACUGGAUCGGCACCUGGACCCUGACUCACAAUCCCAUGCAGCAAGUCUGCACUUCACGCCAGGGCUGCAGUCCUCGCGGGCGCACUGGACUUUGGGAAAUGUAGUAGGGGGGGCGGGGUCUCACGGGCCCCUGCCCUUUUCCCCAAGGCCUUCCUGCCCGCUCGCCUAGAGAGCUGUGACCCCGCCCCUUCCCGGAGCCGCCCGCCUUGGAAUGGAGAGGGCUGGCCGGCUCUGAGCCACGCGGCGGGAAUGCAGAUGACCGGCGCGGCCUCCAACCCUGAGCUGCGCCGUCCGCCCGUGCCCCACUUCUUUCAGUCUGCUUUGCCCUUUCCCCCGCUGCCCAAACACAACCUUACCCCUCCUUGGGAACUUUUCCAUAGCUGCAGUUGUUGGAUUAGUGUGGCGAUCAUCAGUACCUAUAAUCUAAAAGUGUUUGGGGGCCUUGUUGUCCACAGUCUUCCCCCAAAAGUGUGCUUUUAUCUACUUCAGUUGUGUCUUUCGUGUAGGGCUUGUAUUCUAGACCAGGAGACACCUGGCAUAUCUCAAAUUCAGUGUCACAGAUUGUACCCAAGGAUGCGUCCUUGACAAUCGUACCUGGGAUAAGAGUUUGAGAACUUGACAGCUGGUUAAACAAACACGAGCUAUAAAUAUCACUAAUUGCAGCAGGUUUGGUUUUGUUUCUCAAGGUGCUUCUAGAUCUCUUGUCUUCCUUGUUCCAUUUGUACUAUAUUUUGGGCCUGUAAUUAAGUUUGCAUUCUAUGCUUAUGACAGACCACACUCAAGGACUCACCUCAGCGUAGGUGACUCAUUCUCUACUCCACCUGUCACCUGAGCUUCGGCCUCUCAUUUCUUCCAUUCCACCUGACUGUCGCACUUGCAGCUCCGUCUAACAUCUGAAAGGUCCAGGACUUCCCUCCUCCCCUGUGCCCCUUCUGCUGUAGUCCUGUGUGUCACAUUUCAACGUCACAUUCACACAUGGUUCCUCUUUCUUUUCCAAAACUGAAAUCCACGGCCUGUUCACCAGUGACACACACAGCCUCAGUCUUUCUGCCCACGCUUCGUACCCAGUGAUACUUCAGGAUUUACUCAAACCUUGCACUUGCGAGCAACCUCACUACCUCAGACUUCUCCAGUCCGAUGCCAUCUCUCUCCUCUAUGAGAAUAUUAGAACUAUGAGAAAAGAGAUCCUGUCUACUUUUUCCUCACUACUUUAUCUUCAGUACUGGAACAGUAGUAGCACUUAGUAGAUAUUCAAUUAAUAUGACUAAAGAAGGAGGCUUCGAGUUCUUUGCAUCUAAUCCAUCUUUGUAAUGCAGUUCCUAGCACCAGCCUGGAAAGCAAGGGACACGCCAUACCCAUCUUUUAAAUGGAAUGAUCACUUUGCCGCUUUACUCGGAAGCCUUCACAGGCCUCUUGCCUGUAGAAGAAAAUGUUCACACUUUAGCACGAUUUGUGAACUUCUGAAAUCUGAAGCAACUAUUCAGCUUUGGCCUCUCCAACCAAUCAAGAUCACUUGGAAUUCCCCCAACAGACUCCUCUUCCCAGCAGAAAUACCUUUCCAGGCCUCUUCCUCAAACCUGGUGAAUGUCUUUCGCUAUUCAAGACCCAAAGGCAGUCUCUAUUCCUUGGCCAUCCGUCCUAUCCCUUUUACAGGUAGCCACCAAGUCUAAAUACGGACCUGCGUGGGACACUGCAGUGAGCCCCAGGCCUUCGACUGGACCCUUCAGAUCUCCAGUGCACACCCGGACUUUCUGCACUCUUCCACACCCGACUCUGUGGGUGGCCGUGACAAGCCAAUCUUGUAAAUUCUUAUAUAUUUGUACAUCUUGUACUAAAAUCCGUUUCUCUAGUAAGCAUUGACUGGUGCGGUCAACAAAUAUUUCUUGAUCACCAUUGUAUAAAACCAGCAAAACUGCAUCCAUUUAGCCAUCCAUAGUGAGUAUUGUUAACAUAACCCCCUCCCUCUUCCCACAAUCACUCUCGUCCCUGAUGCUUUUAGGCUGGAGGGGUGGGAAGAACCAGGACACCUGGGCAUGUGCCUUGGCGAUCACAUACUGCAUUUAUUCCAUUCAAUUUUCAUUCGUGGCUAAAACAUGUCUGCUUUGAACAAACACUCCCAUUUUCUAAAAAGGAGAAUGAUCUGCUUCUGUCAGCUCACUGUUUG